rnacentral:rRNA from 1 species
GACGAACGCUGGCGGCGUGCUUAACACAUGCAAGUCGAACGGAAAGGCCCUGCUUUUGUGGGGUGCUCGAGUGGCGAACGGGUGAGUAACACGUGAGUAACCUGCCCUUGACUUUGGGAUAACUUCAGGAAACUGGGGCUAAUACCGGAUAGGAGCUCCUGAUGCACGGUGGGGGUUGGAAAGUUUCGGCGGUUGGGGAUGGACUCGCGGCUUAUCAGCUUGUUGGUGGGGUAGUGGCUUACCAAGGCUUUGACGGGUAGCCGGCCUGAGAGGGUGACCGGCCCCAUUGGGCCUGAGAUACGGCCCGGACUCCUACGGGAGGCAGCAGUGAGGAACAUUGCGCAAUGGGCGGAAGCCUGAUGCAGCAACGCCGCGUGCGGGAUGACGGCCUUCGGGUUGUAAACCGCUUUCGCCUGUGACGAAGCGUGAGUGACGGUAAUGGGUAAAGAAGCACCGGCUAACUACGUG